UACGGAGGGUGCAAGCGUUGCUCGGAAUUAUUGGGCGUAAAGGGUAGGUAGGUGGUCUCAUUUGUCUGGGGUGAAAGCCUUGAGCUUAACUCAAGAAGUGCCCCAGAAACGGUGAGACUAGAGUCCUGGAGAGGGUCGUGGAAUUCCCGGUGUAGCGGUGAGAUGCGCAGAUAUCGGGAGGAACACCAAUGGCGAAGGCAGCUCGCUGGGACGGUACUGACGCUGAGACGCGAAAGCGUGGGGAGCAAACAGG
rnacentral:rRNA from 1 species